GAUGAACGCUGGCGGCGUGCCUAAUACAUGCAAGUCGAGCGAACAGACGAGGAGCUUGCUCCUCUGACGUUAGCGGCGGACGGGUGAGUAACACGUGGAUAACCUACCUAUAAGACUGGGAUAACUUCGGGAAACCGGAGCUAAUACCGGAUAAUAUAUUGAACCGCAUGGGUCAAUAGUGAAAGACGGUGUUGCUGUCACUUAUAGAGGGAUCCGCGCCGCAUUAGCUAGUUGGGAAGGUAACGGCUUACCAAGGCAACGAUGCGUAGCCGACCUGAGAGAGUGAUCGGCCACACGGGAACUGAGACACGGUCAAGACUCCUACGGGAGGCCGCAGUAGGGAAUCUUCCGCAAUGGGCGAGAGCCUGACGGAGCAACGCCGCGUGAGUGAUGAAGGUCUUCGGAUCGUAAAACUCUGUUAUUAGGGAAGAACCAAUGUGUAAGUAACUAUGCACGUCUUGACGGUACCUAAUCAGAAAGCCACGGCUAACUACGUG
rnacentral:rRNA from 1 species